GUGCCACUCUUGGAUAUGCUCAGGCUGCCAGAAAUAAGCGUGUAAUUGCUUGCAUUGGUGAUGGGAGUUUCCAGGUAACAGCUCAGGAAAUUUCAACAAUGAUUCGUUCUGGACAAAAGAGUAUAAUAUUCCUUAUCAACAAUGGGGGUUACACAAUUGAAGUAGAGAUUCAUGAUGGCCCCUACAAUGUGAUCAAGAACUG
rnacentral:misc_RNA from 1 species